rnacentral:rRNA from 1 species
GCGGUAAGACAGAGGAUGCAAGUGUUAUUCGGAAUGAUUGGGCGUAAAGAGUCUGUAGGCGGUUUAGAAAGUCUUUUGUGAAAUACUUCAGCUCAACUGAGGCUCCGCAAAAGAAACUUCUAGACUUGAGGAAAGUAGAGGUACAGGGAAUUUCCGGUGGAGCGGUGAAAUGCGUAGAUAUCGGAAGGAACACCAAUAUGGCGAAGGCACUGUACUGGGCUUUUCCUGACGCUCAGAGACGAAAGCUGAAGGAGUGAUUAGGAUUAGAUACCCUAGUAAUUUCAGCCGUAAACGAUGAAAACUCACUGUCGAGCCAAUAUAUGGAGCGGUGGUCAAGCUAACGCGUGAAGUUUUCCGCCUGGGGAUUACGCUUGCAAAAGUGAAACUCAAAGGAAUUGACGGGGACCCGCACAAGCGGUGGAGUAUGUGGUUUAAUUCGAUGCAACGCGAAAAACCUUACCAGGGUUUGAAAUAAUUUCAAAACUUCUUGAAAGAGAAGCCUCCUUCGGGAUGGAAUUACAGGUGGUGCAUGGCUGUCGUCAGCUCGUGUUGUGAAAUGUCAAGUUAAGUCUUGUAACGAGCGCAACCCAUGUCUCUUGUUGCUGUUUACAGUGCUUAAGAGAAACUGCCGAUCAACAUCGGAGGAAGGUGUGGAUGAUGUCAAGUCAGCAUGCCCCUUACAUCCUGGGCUACACACGUACUACAAUGGUCGAGACAAAGGGUCGCUAACCUGCGAAGGUAUGCCAAUCUCAUAAACUCGAUCUCAGUUCGGAUUGUA